GACGAACGCUGGCGGCGUGCUUAACACAUGCAAGUCGAACGGAAAGGCCCUGCUUUUGUGGGGUGCUCGAGUGGCGAACGGGUGAGUAACACGUGAGUAGCCUGCCCUUGACUUUGGGAUAACUUCGGGAAACUGGGGCUAAUACCGGAUAGGAGCUCCUGCUGCAUGGUGGGGGUUGGAAAGUUUCGGCGGUUGGGGAUGGACUCGCGGCUUAUCAGCUUGUUGGUGGGGUAGUGGCUUACCAAGGCUUUGACGGGUAGCCGGCCUGAGAGGGUGACCGGCCACAUUGGGACUGAGAUACGGCCCAGACUCCUACGGGAGGCAGCAGUGGGGAAUAUUGCACAAUGGGCGGAAGCCUGAUGCAGCAACGCCGCGUGCGGGAUGACGGCCUUCGGGUUGUAAACCGCUUUCGCCUGUGACGAAGCGUGAGUGACGGUAAUGGGUAAAGAAGCACCGGCUAACUACGUGCCAGCAGCCGCGGUGAUACGUAGGGUGCGAGCGUUGUCCGGAUUUAUUGGGCGUAAAGGGCUCGUAGGUGGUUGAUCGCGUCGGAAGUGUAAUCUUGGGGCUUAACCCUGAGCGUGCUUUCGAUACGGGUUGACUUGAGGAAGGUAGGGGAGAAUGGAAUUCCUGGUGGAGCGGUGGAAUGCGCAGAUAUCAGGAGGAACACCAGUGGCGAAGGCGGUUCUCUGGGCCUUUCCUGACGCUGAGGAGCGAAAGCGUGGGGAGCGAACAGGCUUAGAUACCCUGGUAGUCCACGCUGUAAACGGUGGGUACUAGGUGUGGGGUCCAUUCCACGGGUUCCGUGCCGUAGCUAACGCUUUAAGUACCCCGCCUGGGGAGUACGGCCGCAAGGCUAAAACUCAAAGGAAUUGACGGGGCCCCGCACAAGCGGCGGAGCAUGCGGAUUAAUUCGAUGCAACGCGUAGAACCUUACCUGGGUUUGACAUGGAUCGGGAGUGCUCAGAGAUGGGUGUGCCUCUUUUGGGGUCGGUUCACAGGUGGUGCAUGGCUGUCGUCAGCUCGUGUCGUGAGAUGUUGGGUUAAGUCCCGCAACGAGCGCAACCCUUGUUCACUGUUGCCAGCACGUUAUGGUGGGGACUCAGUGGAGACCGCCGGGGUCAACUCGGAGGAAGGUGGGGAUGACGUCAAGUCAUCAUGCCCCUUAUGUCCAGGGCUUCACGCAUGCUACAAUGGCUGGUACAGAGAGUGGCGAGCCUGUGAGGGUGAGCGAAUCUCGGAAAGCCGGUCUCAGUUCGGAUUGGGGUCUGCAACUCGACCUCAUGAAGUCGGAGUCGCUAGUAAUCGCAGAUCAGCAACGCUGCGGUGAAUACGUUCCCGGGGCU
rnacentral:rRNA from 1 species